rnacentral:rRNA from 1 species
UAGGGAAUCUUCCACAAUGGGCGAAAGCCUGAUGGAGCAACGCCGCGUGUGUGAUGAAGGGUUACGGCUCGUAAAACACUGUUGUAAGAGAAGAAUGACAUUGAGAGUAACUGUUCAAUGUGUGACGGUAUCUUACCAGAAAGGAACGGCUAAAUACGUGCCAA